rnacentral:rRNA from 1 species
UGCCAGCCGCCGCGGUAAUACGGAGGGUGCGAACGUUAAUCGGAAUUACUGGGCGUAAAGCGCACGUAGGCGGUUUGUUAAGUGGGAUGUGAAAGCCCCGGGCUCAACCUGGGAAUUGCAUUCCAAACUGACAGACUAGAGUGCAGUAGAGGGAGGUAGAAUUUCCUGUGUAGCGGUGAAAUGCGUAGAUAUAGGAAGGAAUACCAGUGGCGAAGGCGGCCUCCUGGGCCAAUACUGACGCUGAGGCGCGAAAGCGUGGGGAGCAAACAGGAUUAGAUA